rnacentral:rRNA from 1 species
UACGAGGGGUGCAAGCGUUGCUCGGAAUUAUUGGGCGUAAAGGGUAGGUAGGUGGUCUUAUUUGUCCGGGGUGAAAGCCUUGAGCUUAACUCAAGAAGUGCCCCGGAAACGGUGAGACUCGAGUACUGGAGAGGGUCGUGGAAUUCCCGGUGUAGCGGUGAAAUGCGUAGAGAUCGGGAGGAACACCAGAGGCGAAGGCGGCGACCUGGACAGUUACUGACACUCAACUACGAAAGCGUGGGGGAGCAAACAGG